rnacentral:rRNA from 1 species
ACUCGAGUGGCGAACGGGUGAGUAACACGUGGGUGAUCUGCCCUGCACUUCGGGAUAAGCUUGGGAAACUGGGUCUAAUACCGGAUAGGAGCCAUCUUUAGUGUGGUGGUUGGAAAGUUUUUCGGUGUAGGAUGAGCUCGCGGCCUAUCAGCUUGUUGGUGGGGUAAUGGCCUACCAGGGCGGCGACGGGUAGCCGGCCUGAGAGGGUGUACGGCCACAUUGGGACUGAGAUACGGCCCAG